rnacentral:tRNA from 1 species
UUUUAUAUAGUUUAAAAAAAACACUACAUUUUCAUUGUAACGUCAGAUAUUUCCAUCUUAUAAAUA